GCAAGUCGUGCGAGAAAGAUUCUUCGGAAUUGAGUAGAGCGGCGAACGGGUGAGUAACACGUAAAUAACCUGCCCUUAAGUUUGGGACAACCUUGCUAACGCGAGGCUAAUACCGGAUGUGAAUAUUUUUUCUCCUGAUUAAAUAUUUAAAGAUCCUUCGGGAUUGCUUAAGGAUGGAUUUGCGCACUAUUAGUUAGUUGGUGGGGUAAUGGCCUACCAAGACGAUGAUAGUUAGCCGACCUGAGAGGGUGAUC
rnacentral:rRNA from 1 species